rnacentral:rRNA from 1 species
AGAGUUUGAUCCUGGCUCAGGACGAACGCUGGCGGCGUGCCUAACACAUGCAAGUCGAACGAGUCCACCCUUUCGGGGGUGAGGCGAGUGGCGGACGGGUGAGUAACACGUGAGCAAUCUAUCCUGUUGCGGGGGACAACGAGGGGAAACCUUCGCUAAUACCGCAUAGUCGAGAGAUCCGCCUGGGUCUUUCGGGAAACGUGGCCUCUUUACAAUGCUACGGUGGCAGGAGGAGCUCGCGGGCUAUCAGCUAGUUGGUGAGGUAACGGCUCACCAAGGCGACGACGGCUACGGGGUCUGAGAGGACGACCCCGCACAUUGGAACUGAGACACGGUCCAGACUCCUACGGGAGGCAGCAGUGGGGAAUAUUGGGCAAUGGCCGAAAGGCUGACCCAGCGACGCCGCGUGUGGGAGGAAGCCCUUCGGGGUGUAAACCACUGUCAGGAGGGACGAAAGAGUCGGGGGUGAAUAAUCCUCGGCAGUGACGGUACCUUCAAAGGAAGCACCGGCUAACUCUGUGCCAGCAGCCGCGGUAAUACAGAGGGUGCAAGCGUUGUUCGGAAUUACUGGGCGUAAAGCGCGCGCAGGCGGGUCCUGUAAGUCGGAAGUGAAAUUUCGGAGCUCAACUCCGAAGCUGCUUCUGAUACUGCGGAUCUAGGGACUGGUAGAGGCUGGUAGAAUUACAGGUGUAGCGGUGGAAUGCGUAGAUAUCUGUAAGAAUACCCGUGGC